rnacentral:rRNA from 1 species
AGCGAACGUUAGCGGCACGCCUAACACAUGCAAGUCGCACGAGAACAGGGGCAACCCUUAGUAAAGUGGCGCACGGGUGCGUAACACGUAGAUAACCUGCCCUUUGGAGGGGGAUAACGUUCCGAAGGAGCGCUAAUACCGCAUACAGCAAGAGCCGGUUCGCCGGUUUUUGGUCGAAAGGUAGGGAGUCCGCAAGGACCUACCGCCAGAGGAGGGGUCGUGCGGCCCACUCAGCUAGUUGG